ACAUUAUUAUACUCUGCUCAUGGUUCAAUGAUUCAUGGAUCCCAUGUGCAAGAUAUCUAUUUACUUUCAAGAUUUAAAAUCUACUGCUGACAACAUAGAUUAUGUGCACGCCUGAGGGUUGAAGCUUGAUAUUUACAGUGAUGCUGGGUGAUCUCUGUGCAGCUUGGCAAUUCAGUGGUUGAAUGGAACAUUGAGGACUUUUGGAGGGUGGCCAGUAGGAUGAGCUAGAUCUUUUCUUCAGAGCAAAGGCAAGUUCUAUGGUUGAGAAAGAGAUUCAAUAUUUUUGUGUGGCCAUGGGCCAUGAAAAUGAAUCUUUUGAGGAUUUCGUGAAGUCACAUGAUGCGUACCAAGAGUACCUUAUGUUUUUCCCGAUGAAUAAUGGUCUUGCCAGUGUUGCUGGAAAUGUUGAUAAAUUAUCUUCUUUGCAAAAAAGAGUUUGAAAUUGUGAAGAUAAUGGAUGAUGAAGCAAAGAAAGCUUCUUUGAUACCAGGUUGGGCUACUGGAGUCACUAAAUCUUGCCAUGGUCGCUCCUAGGGUAAAGCAUUCUAUCUGGAAUCAUUUCUUCAGUAUACGUCAUUAUUGAAUAUUCUCCUGACCUACCAUUAAGAAAUGUCUUGUGUGUAGCCAUGCCUCCUUCCGACCUCUUUGUACAUACAUUUUUCUCCAAUUGCUUGUUUGUUCAGAAUGGUGCAUAUUUUUAAUAAUAAUCAAGAGAAGUGGUUUAAUUGUAUGCAUUAGGCAAGUUCUGCCCUCGAGGUCAUAGCCAACUACUAAAAAUAAAUAAUUCUUUUUGUUGAGGAAGCCAUUGAAAAUAUUGGCGAUGAGCUGCUGCUGCUGAUUCGUACGUGAUGUACCUCCUAGGAUGAGAAUGAAUCUACAUAGACCUGCAAGAUAUAGUGUCACAUGUUCACAGAAAGGGUACACAAUGAUUAGAAUUAAACAUGCUUGCUUCAGUUACAACUACAUUUUGCCAAAGUUGUGGAUUUGUGGUAGUCUCUCCUAUGGUCGAAUUUUGCAGGUAAAGAUUUCUCGCAUUUUGUGUGAUUUAACUUGCGGUUGUUAUAAAAGU